CUGAUGAAGCUACACUCUAGCCUUUGCACCUGGGUCUGCGGAUACGGUGUUCUGGCCGUGGCGACGGCGACGUCGCCACCAGGGUACAGGAAGAAAUGACUGUGCCUCCCGUAUCUGGAAAGGUGUAUAUGGCCUCACAAC
rnacentral:ncRNA from 2 species